rnacentral:rRNA from 2 species
UACCUGGGCCCCGAGUGGUGACCGCUUUUAUUGGGUUUAAAGCGUUCGUAGCCGGUUUGUUAAGUCCUUAAUGAAAUUCGGCAGCUAACUGUCGAGAUUGUUGGGGAUACUGGCAGACUAGAGACCGGGAGAGGUCGAGGGUAUUCUUGGGGUAAGGGUAAAAUCUUAUAAUCCCAAGAGGACCACCUGUGGCGAAGGCGCUCGACUAGAACGGAUCUGACGGUGAGGGACGAAAGCCAGGGGAGCAAACGGG